GCAGAUACCAUGUACCACGAUCGUUUUUGAAACCAAACGGCAACACUCUUGUAUUGUUUGAGGAAAAUGGCGGUGAUCCAACACAAAUAGCUUUUGCUACAAAACAGCUAGAAAGUUUGUGUGCCCAUGUAUCUGAUUCUCACCCACCUCAAAUAGACUUGUGGAACCAAGAUACAACAUCAUGGGGAAAAGUAGGGCCUGCACUGUUGCUCAACUGUCCUAAUCAUAAUCAGGUAAUCUUUUCCAUCAAAUUUGCAAGCUAUGGAACACCACUGGGGACAUGCGGAAACUUCUACCGCGGACGCUGCAGCAGCAAUAAGGCGCUGUCAAUUGUAAAGAAGGUGUUUAUCUGAAUUCUUGUUCCCUUGCUAAUUUGUUAUGUUUCACUUAGGUUUAGAUUAACUAUGUUGGGUUAUUUGUUUGUGUUUCCAUAUCUAUUUUCUUUUGAACGAAAGUUUUUUUUGUAACAUACUAAAAUCAUCUUAUUAACAGGCCUGCAUUGGAUCAAGAAGUUGUAGUAUUGGAGUAUCAACCGAUACAUUUGGAGACCCUUGUAGAGGAGUGCCAAAGAGUUUAGCUGUUGAAGCUACUUGUGCUUAUAGCCAUACAGAUUUGUAGCAUGUUAGUCGAAGUACCACUUGCAAUAAAAGAAACAAAUAUUGUCUUCAUUAUAUUGUGAGCAUUUGGAAAAAUUGAAACUUCCAUUAUUAUGGAAUACAAGUGCAAUUUAGGAAUACAAAUACAAAAAACUCACAUUAUGGCAAGUUUAAGAAACUUAUAGCACAUUGAGAUUUAAGAAAAUGGUUGUAAUAGGAAACAUUAUGGUGGACUCUUUUUAGUCUUGGAUACACAAAUAUAAUAAUAUAAAAUAGAAACCUGAAUACAACAUGUUAAUUUCAUAAACGGAAUUGGCUUAAUUUUUGUGUCAUGUCAAACUCAAAUUUUGACUUGGUUGCAAUUUUUUUUUUAUUAUAACAUUUAUGGUUGACCCUUCUUUCUUGCAAAUUGUCUGAGAAAGACUACUCUGAUUUUGCAUAACUUUAGUAUUUGGAUCUAUAGAUGUGUCACUGGAUUUGCAAUCAAACAUUGCAGUCUCCUCCAAGAUGUCAAGAGCAUACUUUCUUUGAGAGAUGGCAAUGUGCACUACAAGAAUGGUGGAUUUUCCUACAAAAGUUUCCGACGAAAUUUCCUAGAAAGCGUUUUCCUACGAAUUAGCGACGAAAUUUUCGUCGGAAAGCAAAUGUCAGUAAAAAGCAGCUUGUGAAUGGCUGACUUUACCUAGGAAUAAUUUCCUAGGAAAGCGGCGGCCCCCACAUGCAGAAAAAGGGUGUGUGGAAGCAUGUGAUUGGCCUAAUUUACCGAGGAAUAUUUUCCUAGGAAAGCUGCGGCCCCACAUGCAAAAAAAGGGUGUGUGGAAGCAUGUGAUUGGCCUACUUUACCGAGGAAUAUUUUCGUAGGAAAGCUGCGGCCCCACAUGCACACAGCCGUUGGAUAAGGGGUGUGUGUAUGGUUGUGAUUGGUGGAAAUUACCUACGAAAAUUUUGUCGGAAAACACGGGACCCACAUGCUAACUAGCCGUUUGUUACCGUUGCAGCAUUUGUGUAUAUAAAUAUACAACACUCUAUUUUCUUCUUGACAAUCUUCAUUCUAUUCUCAUUCAAAUUUUUUUAAUAUCACUCAAAUUUUAUUCUCCAUCAUUUUAUUAUCAUUAUUUCUCAUUCAAAUUUUUUUAAUAUCACUCAAAUUUUAUUCUCCAUCAUUUUAUUAUCAUUAUUGAAGUUUCUAACAAAGGUAAUUAUUGAUAUUUUCUUAUAAUUGAUUUCAAUUUUACAUGUGUUUGAAUUUAUAAAUAUUUAAUGUAGUUAUACAUUAAAAUAAGUUACAUUCUUUUUUAUAGUUAUGUUGGUUCUGAUCCAUUUUGAGGUUGGUGUUGUUGUUCGUUGCCGUUGAUUUUGUUGUCUCCGCUUAAUUCGUCGACUUAUUAUUUGAGGUUGGUACAUUUCUAACUUAUUUUAAAUAAUUAUUACAAUGGUAUUAGUACUAAAUAUUAAUUAUUAGAAAAAUAGUUACUAAAAUUAUUAUAUUGUAAUUAAUAAAAACGUUAGCGGGAUUUUUCUAAAAAAAAAUGUUAGUUGGAUUAACUUCUUUAAAAAAAUAUUUAGUGGGAUUAAAUUAAAUUUCAACUUAUUAGUGUUAGAGAGAGUAUAAUAAAAAAAGUGUUAGUUUGUAGAAAAACUUGUAGUUUAGUUAAAAAUGUUUACUUUUGAAAAACUUGUGUUAAAUUUAUAUAUAUUGUUAAUUUAGUUAUUAAAAUAUGUUGCAUUAUUUUUUGUAGUUUCCUUGUUUUCGAUCCAUUUUAAAGUUGGUGUUGCUGCUGGCUGGUUGUUGCUUUUUUUUUUUUGAUCCACUUGUUCAUUGGCUUGUUAUUUGAGGUUAGUAUCUUUUAUUUAUUUAAAAUUUAUUCAAUGGAUUAAUAUUAAAAAUAUUAGAUAUUAGAAACAUAGUUAGUAAAAUUAAAUUGUAGUAAAUAUGUUAUUUAGAUCAAAUUUGUUUUACGUAAAAUAAAUGUAGCUAGUAAAAAUGUUACCGUAGUUCUUUAAAAAAAAGUUAAGUUAGUAAAGAAAUAUGUAUAAUUAAGUUUGUUAGAAAAAUAAUGUAAAGUAGCAAAAAAUUAUGAAGUUAAUUAAUAUGACAUAUGUGAAUUAUUUUGUGGGAAUCAAUUCUGGCGUCCGCGCUUAACAUUUAUUUGUGGUUAGUAAUUUGUAUAUGCACGCAAUGUUUAUUUCAUACAAAUUUUAGAAAAUGUGAUAUAGAUUAGAAAAUGUUAUAUAUUUUAGUCAUAAAAUAUAAAAUAUUAUAUAAUUUUUAUGCGAUAGCAUGUUUAUUUUGUACAAAUUUCUAAAUAUUUAGGUGAUUAGAAAAAAAUUGUUAUUUAUAUUAAAAAAAUAUUUACGUAUAAAAAUAUAUGGUACUAAUUUGAGUCAACUGCAGCGACGCGAAAAAUGGAUCAACAUAUUUUCCAUCGUAGUUGGAUGUACGAUAGAAAAUAUCCGGGGAAAAGGAAACUUAAGGCGGCUUUUGUGGAUGGAGUUCGUGAAUUUGUUGCUUACGCCAUGGCGCAAGAUGCCUUUCAAUUGGAGGGAGGGAUAAGAUGUCUGUGUGUUAAAUGUACGUGUAGGUUGAUUCGGAGCCCAAAAGAUGUUCUAAACCAUUUAAAGGACCUUGGUUUUAUGGAGAAUUAUUAUGUGUGGAUUUAUCACGAUGAACAAGAGCCUACAAAUAAUACCGAGUCUGAUGUUAAUAUGCACGCUUCAAGCAGUGAGGCGCGUAUGGAGUGUGAAAACUUUGGCGUGAUGGAAGAUAUGGUCGGUGAUGCACUUGGGGUGAACCUGUCUUACAACGAGGGUGGUGAAGAGGAAACAAUCCCGAAUGAGAAAGCGUUGAAGUUUUACAAGAUGAUGCAAGAAGUAAACAAGCCGUUGUUUGAAGGGUCGUCUGAUUCUAAGUUAUCAAUGAGUGUGAGGCUUUUAGCUGCCGCGUCAGAUUGGAGUGUAGCCGAAGAAGGCUCAGAGUAUACAGAUAUCAUGAGGGACGCAACUUCCAAACCUAGCUUCUCACAAUCGGUCCAAUAGUUCCAAUCGGUGCUACAAUUGCUCAGUUUCCAACUCACUCAGUCCACAAUCCAUCACCGUUGAUUUUAUUGCCCUAAAAGGUUAGUGAAUCACCUUUGCUAAAUUGAUUUUAUUGCUGCUAAUUUGUGAUUUAAAAUAUUAGGGUUUUCUGAUUUGGUCUGGGUUCUUUUGAUAAGUUAACAGGUUUGGAUACACAUAAAAUUUGAUUUGGGUUCCCUAAUGUUUUUUUGAACUUUAACUCAAAUAGCAUUGUGAAUGUAUUUUUUUGCUUAUAAGACCUGUGCUAAUUUGACUCAUAUCGCAUUUACCUAUGCUAUGAUAAUUGCAGCCUGUGUGGUCGUUUUUUGUUCUUCUUCUAGAAGUCGUGUUCGCCGUGUUCUCAAUCGCUCAAGAAACCACCGCCGCCGCCGUGUUAUAACUAGUUUUGAACUAAGUUAAGUUUCUCCUGUUUAUUUUAAUAUAUAAUCCUGCCAUAUGGAUAUGUGUGGUGUGUGUGGAAGUAAUAUAGUUUUUCUGUUUUUUAUGAGGUAGAUUAGAAGAAGAUAUGCAUCAUAAUUUGGAUCAGUAUUAUGUCAUCCAUUCAUGAGAUUAUAUCUGCCAUUUGUUGGUUUUGAUUCAGAUUUGUUUUUGAGCAUUAGAGUCUGUUAUUUUCUUGGUGCUUAAAGAAAUGUGCUAGAGUUGAUGUAUGAGCGAUGAGCUAAUUGUUGUGCAUUUUAUGAAGUGUCAAAGGAAAUUUAAGAGAUUGUAAUUACUCUUCAUUGUGAAGAUUGAAGAUUGUAAUUAAUCUUCAUUACGAUGAGCUAAGAGUUUGAAUUAAAUGUAUUUUGAUUUAUCUAAUUUUGAACUAUGUUUAUAGGAACUUGGAUCAACUUGAGGUGUUAUCGAAGAAAUAGAAGAAGCUUAAUCAAAGACUAUAAGAGCCAAGGCGUCUUCACAAUCCAUUGCUGCAACUAGGUUAUCUGAUUCUGUUUUUCAAUUUUAUUUAUUUAUAGAAGUAUUGUAUGAUUCUGUUUUUAGCUAUCAAUAACUUUUGGUGCUGAGUUUGGUGAUGGAGUACCAUUGAAUUAGUUGAUCAUUUUGAUUAUUGAAAUUCAUUCUUUACUCACUAGCUUGAUUUAAUUCUCUUUAUUUCAUUUUGGCUAUGUUUUGAAAAUUAGGACAGAAUUGUAGUAUAAGCUUAUAACACAAUUUUUGGUUGAAGAUUCUGACUUUUCUUUAUCUCUAAGUUGAAUUCCACUAAAUUCUUGAGAUAGAUUGGUUGAUGUUACUGUCAAAUAAAAUUCUUGAGGUAGUGUUUUCGCUGCUCCCUUUUCCACCAUGAUAUAGCCAUGUCGGUGUCCUAGGUUUUUUUAGAUUAGCAGUGUCCGUGUCGGUGUCCUAGGUUUUUUUAGAUUAGCCGUGUCCGUGUCCGUGUCGUGUCCCGUGUCCGUGUCCGUGUCCGAGUCCGUGCUUCAUAGGGUUUUCAGUGUAAUUCUACAAAACCAAUCCAAAAGUUCAGUUUUGUUCGUAAACAGACUUAAACUCCUCUAUUUAAUUAAAAUAUCAAACGGUGUCCGAAUUGAGUAAACGAACAUUCCCUGGAAAGCUUAGAAUGUCAAGAAUAUAAAUAUAAUUUUACUUUUGGUGUUUAAAUAUCCAAUUUGUACAGUUUUACUAAUGAACUUGUACAGGUACAGAAACAUGUUAGCAGUUUUACCAAUUUGCUGCAAAAGUCAGAAUUUCAAUCUAUUCCUCUUUUUUCUUUCUUUCACUUACUCAAUUGAUCAUACUUCUACAUUUCUUAAUCUAUGACAUUAUUACCAUGACAUAAUAGUAUAAAAGUAACUUUAUGCUGAUUCAAAUCUGUUAGUGUGCAUUUAGGUUUCGUCAUUAGGUGUCGUCGUCGUGGUUAGGUAAGAGCCAUGAAUUGUGCAUUUAGAAACCAACUUCCAAACCUCCUUGUCAACCAUAGCCAUAUUAAAUACCUUAAAACUUUUAAAACUCAUCCCAUUGAACAUGUAAGGAUUUUGAAGAAUGCAAAACUCCCUCUAAGCUAACAAGUUCAUUACAAGAAUGAUCAUAUAGAAAUAAUAAGCAUAUUUCUUUGUAUCCUGAUAGAUUGCUCAUAAUCUUCUCAGAAGCAAAACAGCAGAUACAAGGAUUGCUUUCUUAUUGUCCAAGCCUAGGCUACCCUAUUUCAGUCUGCCUUUCUUGUUGGUUGAUGUGUGCCUUUCCACCAACUCUUGAUUUGCAAGUGCAACAGCCUAUUCAAAACGAAAAUUACGCCCAUGACGGAGGCAAAGUAUUGAUCUAUAAAGGGCAGCAACAUGUAGGAAGAAGAUUAUUGUAAUUAUGAGAUCAUCCAAGAGACCAACUAUUCCGAAUAUUCCUUCCGAGAUGAUGUCAAUAACACUACAAGAAAUGUUGCAUUUUGUCAGGGGCAGAAGUCCUGGCAAAAUGCAGAAAGCCUUGGCAAUUGGACAUUUGCCAGGAGCAGAAUCACCAGCAAAUCUGCUCAUCGCAAAUGAACCUGUCAGGGCUUAAGCUCCUGGCAAAUGCGCUCCUGACACAGGCCCUGGCUCAACCCCUAGCAAAUUGUGUCAGCUUGCAUGCAGCUUUUCUGGAGUUCUGCAGGCAUUUGCAGACUGUGUCAGCAUCACAUCAGUCAUCAUUUUCAAAACAUGCCAGGGGUUUACCCCUGACAAAAUGUGUACCAAUUUUAAAAAUUAAAAAACAUUUUUUAAUUGUUUAAAAAAUCAAAAUAUUAAAAUUUAAUAAUUAAAAUAAUUUCAAAAAACAAUUUUAAAUUAUUUUUACGAAAAAUAAUUAAAUUAAAUUAUUAAAACAAUUUUAAUAAACGUUUUUAAAUUGUUUUUUUUAUUUCAUUUUUUUAAAAUUGUUUUUAUUUCAUACCAUAAAAAAGAGAUUCGAAAAAUUCAGCCAUUAAUUAACAUCAUUCUAAAAAAAUCUAUUUUACGUACCGAUCACCAAACAUAAAACAAAACACAACAGAAUCAUUUGGCACACAAAAAGUAUAGUACCCUUGAGAUAGAUUACAUCAACGAACCAAUUUGACUAUGAACAAGCUAUAAAGAAAUAGUCCAUUGGAAAAACAUUUCAUAUAUUUAAACAUUACACAAUGAAGUAUGCUUACAUGGAAAUACUAAAUUACAUAGUGGCUGAACCAUAACCAAUACAUUGGAAAUAACGUUUCAUUGGACUAUGACAAUUACUAUAAGAGAAUGAUGGCAUAGUGGCAUGACAAUUACUAUAAGAGAAUGAUAACAGUCAUACACUUACCGGUUACAAACUACAGUUCAUUGAGUAGUAGUACAAUGCUAGUAUGAGUUCAAAUAUAUUAUGAUGUCCAUUGAUUUAUAUUGUCUGUGGCUUAAUAACUUGAAUCAAAAUUAUAGAACAAAAUCAGCAGCAGCAAACAGUGGCAUCUAAGAAAAUAACAGUUUAAAAAACAAGAAUUACAUGGCAUGUCCUGCCUUUAGAUGACAUUAAUUAAAGUAUGAGAAACUACUUACAUCAGGGGUGCAUAACUGUGUUGCGAUGUGUUCUAUGUGGGAAGAUGGUAUAUUCCCGUUUGAAUUUCAAUUCCCUCCAAGCAUUUUGCCACAACUUUCAUGAGGGGUUGCCUCCGGUAACUUUGCCAGGAGUUUCCCCUGACAUAGCUUCUGCCGAAUUUUCCAGGAGUUCUUGCUCCUGGCAUUAUUCCCUGGCCAUAUGCAACAUUUCUUGUAGUGGGUUGAGGAUGUAUAUAACAAUCAGUAUCAUAGUAAUGACGACACGAGCUCUGAAAAGAAAAGGAAGAAAUGUGCUAGGCUCAAUGAAAUCCUUGAAAAGAGUACGCAAGAGAAAUGGAAGAUCAAGGAGUCUUUGAGUAAUGGGAGCUUUAGAUUGAUCACUAAAAAUACAGUUGUAAGUCUGAAUUCCAAUCAGAACUUCAGGGUCAUGACGAUACUUGUUGCCAUUAUCGUCGUAGUUGUGGUUUUCAGUAGGAACCAAAAGGGUAAUGGGUCGAUGACAGUGUGGACAUUUACAUGGUUCAAUGUCUGGAGAUUGUUCCCAAUCAACCAUUGUACAGGUUCCACAAAACCAAUGAGAGCAUAUGUCUGUAGCUUGACAUAUUAUCUGGAAUUUUACGUGACAUUUUGAACAUACAAAUUUCGAUGGUGGACCUUCUUUCAAUUUCCCUUUCUCUUCUAUCUCAGCCUCUAACCCUAGGUUUUCCAAUUUAUCCUUCUCUUCACCCAAUUCUUCUAUCUUAGCCUCUAAUCCUAGGUUUUCCAAUUUCCCUCUAUCUUCACCCAUUUCUUCUAUCUCCGCCUCUAAGUUUUCCAAUUUCCCUUUCUCUUCACCCAUUCUUUCUCUAUUUACUCUUCUUUUUUUUUUCUUUUUCUUUUUUUUUACGAAAGAGGGUCCUCAGCUCAUUGUUAGUUAGGAUUAAAAACAUAUACUUCUGAAUAUACUUUUUUUUUUUUACAAAAUCAAUAAAUACUUUUUUUUAAAGAAAAAUAAAUAAAUACUUAAGAGCUUCAUUAUUCAUAGACUUCCCAAUUCAAAUGAAGAAAUUGUCAAAUCCACAUUAAGGAACAACAUAAAAUAAAAUAAAAAAUAAACUAACAAACAUUAUAUCUACGAAGAAGAAAAAAAAGUAGGGCUAAACUAUUUUGCCAUCCUAAAAGUAACUUGAAUAUUUAUCAUGUCAUAAAAACCAAUAAAUAGCCAAGAGAUGAAGAGUGACAAAAUGAAGAAAAACUAAAAUACCAAGUGAUAAUGAACAACCAUUUUUCAUAAACUUCUUCAUGAACAGCAAGGAUGAAACAAAAUGAAAAAAGAAGCAUCAUUUAUCCUAUUUUCCUAAUUCACAUAAAAAAAUGCCCACGUACACAUUAAGGAAUAAAAGAAACUAUGAAAGAAAGUCUGACAAAUAGACAAACAACCAUCAUAUCGAUGAAAAAAUAUUGCUUAAAUACUUGACCAAUCUAAGAGUAACUUGACUCCCUAUAAUGUCAUAGAAACCAAAUAAUAAUCAAGAGAUGAAGAGUAAAAGUGAGUAGAAUAAUAAAGAGUUGAAGAGUAAAAGUGAGUGGAAUAAGAGUAAUACAAAAUUGAAGAUGAAUUAUCCAAUUAUUGCUUGAAAGGGAUGAACAACAAAACCCAAAAUUUGGUGAAAGAAACUACAUACUUAUACACACAAUCUUUUUCAAUGUAGGACAAAUAGUCUAAUUAGUAGAAACUUUAAAUAUUGAUAUCAUAUUAGUGGUUCUAUGUAUAAUGAGUUAUGGAAUACAAAAAAAAUUAAUAGUAGUUCAAAGGUUAAUGUGAUAAAAAUCAAUGCAUUGGAGUUUAUGAUUCAUAAAUAAACACGUAAAAAUUGUGUGGAUCUUUUUUAAACGUGGCACAUCAUCACAAUUCUAGCUUAUGGAUAGCUUAAACUUGGACCAUAAAUAUCUCAUCAAUCACCUAGAGAAGUUUUUAAAUCGUUAAUAUAAACUAAUUUCAAAAUUAAGUUGUUGGGUUAGUAACAUCCACAAAAUCAACUCUAAACCUAGCAUAAUUAAGUAUUUUAAAUUUAUUCUUACCAUUUACAUUACACUAAAUUUUGCGUCAACGGUUUCCAAAUGCUAAGUAACGUCACAUUUUCCUUCAAAAAAAGUAACGUCACAUUUAUAUACACUUUUAAAAGGCAUUUAGCUUCAAUUUUAGCGUCCACUUUUGAAGAUGUUAAUUAGCAUCGGUAGGAAGCUAGUGUUUGGCCUCCAAGCUUUUAUUGUCAUUAAUUUUUUGGCCUCUAUAUUGACUCUAAAAGGCUAUUAGCGUCCAUAAUUUGCCUUUUUGCAUCCAUUUUUAUGAUGACUCUAAAACGUAAUUUUCUUGUAAUGCAGAUGCAGAGAAAAAAAAAAAAAAGUGGAAGAAAUAACAAUUUUUUUGAAUUGUGAUAGGGUCGAAGGAAUAAGCAAGUUGAAACCUCAACACAAAGAGCUUUUAAAAAGUGUGGUUGCCCAAUCAAAAUUAGAUCAACACCGUUGAAAAAUGGUUUGGGAUGAAAAGUUGAGGUUAAAUGUGGAAUUCACAACCAUAUGCUACCUAAUAGAAUGGAAGGUCAUGCAUUUACAGGGCGUCGAACAAUAGAAUAGCCUGAAGACGUUAGGAUUUAACAAAUCUUCAUGUUCCACUAAGACGGAUACCUCUAUUAUUGCAUUAAUGAGUUUUCAAGCCUAAACUAUUAAUUUUUUUUAUCAUAUGUUAGUUCUUAAUAUAUUUAUUUAGGAUUAAAUAUGUUUUUUUGUCCCUAUAAAUAUAUCAGUUUUUCGUUUUAGUUCCUUUAAAAAUUUCCUUCAACUUUUAGCCCCUAUAAAAUUUUGAAUCACUACUUUUAGUCCUGAAUUUUAGGUUAAUUUUUUUUAAUGAAAUUGUGCAAAAUUGUGUAGAGUAUUGUAAAAAUAUAUCCCAGAAAAAAUUAGAAUUUUUUAACAAAACUUAAAUUAAAUAUGAAUUUUUAACUGCAAAAAUGUAAAAAUUCAUAUUUAAUUCAUGUUUUGUUAAAAAAAAUCUAAAUUUUUUGGGAGAGAUUAAUUCUUAUAAUAUAUUAAAUUUUUAUGCAAAAUUUUAUUCAAAAAUAUGAAUUCUACAUAUGAUUUUACUGUAAAGAAAGGACCAAAAGUGGAGAUGGAAAACUUUUUGGAGACUAAAAGUUGAUCAAGAAAUUUUUUAGAGAAACUAAAAUGGAAAUUUGACAUAUUUAUAGGGAGAAAAAACAUAUUUAACCCAUUUAUUUAUUUAUACUACCAAUGAUAUUUUUCUAUAAAAAUAAAAAUCACCAAAUCCUUAAAAAAAGGAAGAAUAUUUGUGUUUUUUUAACCAAGAAGAAUAUUUGUUGAAAAAAUAUAGGGAAGAAUUUUUAUAGGAAUUAAACAAGAGGAUAUAACAAUUAAUAAUCCUGAAAAAUUAUUAAUAUUUCUUAGAAAUAAAGCACAGAAGUAACUCAAGUUUUUUUUUUUUUACGGGACAAAAUAUAACUCAAUUUUUAGGAGAAAAUAUAAUUAGGAGAGAUACAAGAUGGAAUCUUAAUAUGAAUAUGAAAACUAGCAUGACGCGAAGCCAUUUAGCAAAACUAUGAGCGACUUUGUUGGCUUGUCUCUAAUAAACCUAACAUUAGAGGUUGCUAAAUCAGAAGCAAACAGACGUUUACAGCCAUUGAUACUGCACUAUAAUUAGAAACGCCGCUUUUACUACCAUAAAGACUAUCCACCACAGUUUUGGAACAAAACUCAAAAUCCACAAUACCCAAUUGUAGAUCACGCACCCAAUACAUUGCUGAUAAUAAACCUAAAGCCUCGCCCAAAUCCACUUCAAUGAGUGGAGUCAUCCAUUCAGUUUUAGUCAACACAAACCUACCUUCAUUAUCUCGACUACACAUACCAAGGCUAACCUGAUUCAAAGAAUGGGAAAAGGAAGCAUCUACAUUACAUUUUUACCUACCUGAACUUGGUUUAUGCUACUGCAGAUCUCCUUGAGGAGUGGGAUGCAUGGUAGUAUGAUUUCAAAUAUGUUGGACAUUCAUCCAACUAGUAAGAAAAGAUCUUGUAUGUUCACAUAUUAUUACUAUGUUCCAAAUAUUCCAUAGAGUCACACUAAAGACUUGUUUUUGCUGUUGAUCCAGAUGGGUUAAAAUAGCAAACAAAUUUGUCACGAAACUUGUAUAUAGAUCAAAGAAAGCCAUCGAGAGACUCCAUAAUCCGGUGUGCUGCCAACAAAGCAUACUUUUACUAUAUAUGAAAAACAAAUGAGUACUAUCUUCAGCACUUUCUUCACACACCGCGCACUAAUCAGGACAUUGAACACCUUUUGAUUGCAACCGAACUCUUGUAGGCAAAUAGUUACGACAUGCUCUUCACCAUAAAUUUUUAACCUUUGGUGGCAAUUUAUGCUUCCAAACACAAUUCCAGUUCCUGGCGCACGAUGUUGUAAAGUUGCAAUGUUGUGAUUCAUAAUGUCCUUGUAUGCACUCCUAACUGUGUAAGCACCAUCCUUCUCUAAUUUCCAAGUAGGCACAUCAUUAAUCACUGAAGCCAACAAUGGAAUAUUAAAAAUACUUUUGGCUGUAUUAGUAUAAAAAAUAUAUAUUAAUUAGUUCCAUGUUUCAUUGCUUCUGAGGUGUAACCAUCAAGUCCGCAAAAAUUAUAUGUGGUCACUCCAAAUGUUGAGGAGUGGAGUGGUCGGCAAAAUACGAUCAGCGUUACAAAGUCAAGGAUGGUCCUAAACUAGUAUUCGUUCUCUUGUACCAAUACUCCAAUGCAAAUUCCUUCGAAUUACAUCUUUCACAUUCCAAAUACUACGCCAAACAUAACUAGGAUUAUGGCCAAUACCAGCUCCAAAGUAAUCACAUCUAGAAAAGUAUUUUGCUUUGAGUAAACGUGUGAAUAAAGACUCUGGAUUAGAAACCAACUUCCAAGCCUCCUUGUCAACCAUAACCAUAUUAAAUACCUUAAAACUUUUAAAACUUAUUCCAUUGAACAUGUAAGGAGUGAAAAGUUUUUCCCAAAAUAGCCAGUGUAAGCCUCGAAAAUUUGUUGAAUUAUGACCCCCGAAAAAGUUUAACAUUCUCUCAUUUUCAUUAAUGAGUGAUCAUGGGAUGAGAAAAACACUCCUGACAUGUGAAGACACAUACUACAAUACUGAUUUAAUAAGGAUUUCCCUUCCAACUUGGGAAAAUAUAAUUCAAUUUUUUUUUUUUUUAAGGAUACUCAAUUAGUUAGUUUAAUUUGCAUAGAGAAAGAGAACAAAUAGAAAGAAAGAAACUAAGCAAAGUAUUAAUAUUAAAGCAAUGAACCUAUCAAAGUUAGAGAAAAAUAAAGAAAAGGAAGUACUCAUUUGUCAGAUUUAGGUGCGAAUUAGAUUAGAUGUGGGGGGUAGAAUUGAAGCAAGUUAUCAACCGCUGAAUACAGCUUUGUUUACUCUAACAAAAUGUCACCAUCCAAUAAUAGUCGUGUCACUUUAUGCUUCAGGACCACAAAAUGAUUUAACAAUGUCCCUUUUUUCAUUAUAUUAUUAAAACAUCUCAUAAUGCUUAUUAUGUUGAGUUUAAUGGAUAUGAUUAGUCGGUUGGACCAACACUUACAAUCAAUAAAAAUCAACUAUUUCUUCACAUCAUACCAUUAAAGUGAAGUAUACUUUAGUAAUUUGAUGAAAUACAAGGUUGCUAUCAAACUAUGGUGUAAAAUUAUUUUAGACGUGGAUCUUAUUUUCUAUUAAUUUUUUUUUAGGAGAUGAUGAUAUUAAUUCUUGGUAGUCAUACUCAUACCGGUGAGUUAGUUGGGCUGCUCAAUGGCACUGCUCAACUGCCCCUUAAUUGGAGUUUUUUUUUUUCUUCAUAAUUAAUAUGCUAGCCGAUUUGCUUAUCAAAAAAAUAAAUGCUAGCCAUUUCAUGUUAUUCUUAUAAAUAUAAAAUAUAAGGAAAAAAAUACAAUGAGUGUGAUGUGUAUGAGUUGGUUAAACAAUAAUAUAUACAGUUAAAACAUAGAUCAAUACUAUAAACAAUAUACUUAGAGGUUUUGUUAAUGCAGUAAAAAAGACAAGAUAAGUAGCCUAGGAAGACAACAAUGUCACCACCGACAACCUUUUUGUUUGUCAACAAACAGCUUACACCUGGCAUUUCCUUCUCCUCAUAGAAUGCACAUUACACAUGUUAUACAGUACUUGUAGCACCUUACUCUUGUUCUUCUUACAAACCAUCAUCACUUACAUUUCACACCCACGUGACCAAAAAACACAAACACAUGUGUAACAUAUAAUCCAAACCAAAGUUCAUUCAUUCUUUCCUUCACUAGUGAGUUUCUUUUUCUCUCUUUGGUUCAUUCAUUCUUCCAAAAUAAUUACCAUGAGAGCCUUUGAAAUUGUGUUGGUUCUACUUUGGUUCCUACCAAAAAUGUUUUGCACCAAUGUGGAUUAUGACCAUAGAGCAUUGGUCAUUGAUGGUAAACGUAGAGUCUUGAUUUCUGGUUCUAUUCACUACCCUCGUAGUACUCCACAGGUUUUAUUUUAUGUCUCUCUUUGAUUCUGUUUGUGAGUUUUUGCAUUGUAUUUGAUUUUAAACAGUGCUGAAUUUGUUGUUGUUUAUAGAUGUGGCCAGACCUUAUUCAGAAAUCUAAAGAUGGAGGACUUGAUGUCAUUGAAACCUAUGUUUUCUGGAACUUACAUGAACCUGUUAAAGGCCAGGUUCUCUUUGCUUCAUUUCUUCUCUCACAUUUUUACCACUUUCUUUCUUAUUCUACUUGCUUUCAGCAUUUCCUAUGUUAAUAUGUGAAAGAAAAAGUUUGAAUUGCAGAUAGAAUUAGUAGUUUAAAAAAUGUAUAUGUUAAGCUUAAUUGCUAAUUGUUGAAAGCAUAAAAUGUUGAACACCUUUUUGGGACAUGUUUGAAUUGACUUAUCUGAGCUUAUGUACUGACAUAAGCACUUCUAAGACUCUUUGAGAAAGACUAUGAAAACAACUUAUUUAUAUAAAAGUAAUUUGAUUUAUUUAUGUUUUGUCAAUAAAAAUAGCUUAUAUAGAAGCACUUAUAUGGUAUAAGUGCUUAAUUUAAGUUGUUUAUCUAAACAUGGUCUUGAUCUAGUUUCGAAUGAAAAGACAUAGAUUAAGGUUAGAAAGACUAUUAUAAUUCAUUGAAAUGAAAUGGAUUUUUGCAGUAUGAUUUUGAUGGGAGGAAGGAUUUAGUGAAAUUUGUAAAGGCAGUGGCUGAGGCAGGACUAUAUGUGCAUCUCCGGAUCGGUCCAUAUGUGUGUGCUGAAUGGAACUACGGGUAAAGUUUGGUCCUUUCUGUGUAUUAUUUUUCUGUGGUGUUCAUGUCUAAUUGAGGGCUUUAACUUCUUGACAGUGGUUUCCCUCUUUGGCUUCACUUCAUUCCAGGGAUUAAGUUCCGAACUGACAAUGAACCAUUUAAGGUAGGCUAACCUUCACCCUGUUGCUUCAUGCAUUUGUCCUUAAAUCUGAGUUCACUUGACAGGAAACUUUGUCUUCAGGCCGAAAUGAAGCGAUUCACCGCUAAGAUUGUCGAUCUCAUGAAGCAAGAGAAACUGUAUGCAUCACAAGGAGGACCUAUAAUUUUAUCUCAGGUUUUUAAUCAUUAAAUACAUGGUCUUUUUGAAGUAUAUAGUUAAUAUAUUUUUGUAGAUAUUAAGGUCAGAGCUCAUAUUUGUUAAUGUGAGAGUAUUUGUGCUUUCUAAUGCCAGAUUGAAAAUGAGUAUGGAAACAUUGAUAGUCACUAUGGUUCUGCUGGUAAAUCAUACAUCAACUGGGCUGCAAAAAUGGCUACAUCUCUUGAUACAGGUGUUCCUUGGGUCAUGUGUCAGCAAGGAGAUGCUCCUGAUCCAAUCGUAAGUUUUAUGUUUUAAUAUGCCAACGUCAAUUAUUUUCCGGUUUAUGGUUUACUAGAUUGUCUAUCUUCUGGAAAGGAGUAAUCUUAGUUUGCUAACCACUCGCAGAUUAAUACAUGCAAUGGAUUUUACUGUGAUCAAUUCACACCAAACUCUAAUACAAAGCCGAAAAUGUGGACUGAGAAUUGGAGUGGAUGGUUAGCGACUUACUGUCCUUUUUUAUAUAAAUCAUUUCAAUAAAAUAUGUUCCUCCAAACGUGUAUAAUGGAUUGUGUAUCUCCUUUCUUGUUCUACUUGUUCUUUUUGUUAUUUUCUCAAUCUUUUGAAUUAUUUGGAAUGGUAGGUUUCUUUCAUUCGGUGGUGCUGUUCCUCACCGACCUGUGGAAGAUCUUGCAUUUGCUGUGGCACGCUUUUUCCAACGUGGUGGAACAUUUCAAAACUACUAUAUGGUAUUGCAACCUGAAAUGUUGUUCGCAAGUUCAAUUUUAUAUGAUAGUAUUACUUCACGGAAAAAUUGGCUCUAAGAGGAAUUAGCUAAUACUUUAUCAUUUUUUAUUGCUUGCCCAAAAACAGUACCAUGGAGGAACCAACUUUGACCGAAGUACCGGCGGACCUUUCAUUGCUACAAGUUAUGAUUAUGAUGCACCGAUUGAUGAGUAUGGUAUGACUCUUUCAACCUUAAUACGAGUAUAUUUUGUUCAUGUUGUAGCCAUCGCAAAUGCACCACUGGUAAUACCUCGGUCCUCGAAGAAGAUAAAUUAAUAAUAUUACACGCAUAGUUAUUUUCUUUUAUUUAGAAGAGAAAUUACACUGGACAAUUUUCUGUGUGUGUUUAAUAUCUCUACUAUACGCUGCAGGAAUUAUUAGGCAGCAAAAGUGGGGUCAUCUUAAAGAUGUACACAAGGCCAUAAAGCUUUGUGAAGAAGCACUAAUAGCUACUGAUCCCAAGAUUUCAUCUCUUGGUCAAAACCUAGAGGUAUAGGUGGUAUGUAUUGAAAUUUUUGUCUGUUCGAAACAUCUUACUCCACGUCUUAGGAUAGAAAUAUCUGGAUCAUUGUAACUAAAAUUCUUCUAGUUUGUCAAUCUUGUAAGUUACUUUCUCUGGAAAAUUCCCUCCAUUGAGUGCAAUUUUUCCACAGCCACUAUUUUCGGCACUAACUAGAUUAGUUCUUAACAGUCUUUUACUAUUUAAACCGCAGGCGGCAGUUUAUAAGACAGGAUCUGUAUGUGCUGCCUUUCUCGCCAACGUGGAUACUAAAAAUGAUAAAACCGUAAAUUUCAGUGGCAAUUCAUAUCACUUGCCUGCAUGGUCUGUGAGCAUCUUACCAGAUUGCAAGAAUGUAGUGCUUAAUACUGCAAAGGUUUGUCUUACCUUCAUUUGUGUUAAGUUGCUUCAAUAACAACAAUUAUCGCAAUCAAAAUAGAUAGUUUAAUUGAAUAGAGUUACAAAAAAAGUGUGAUUAAUAUUCAUUUUGUGAUUAUUCUAUCUAUAGCCAAGCUGUUUUCUCUUAUUUGUUAGUCCAAGGUAAGUAGGAUGUAAUAAAAAUAUCAUUUUUUUAUGGCAGAUUAAUUCUGCAUCUGCGAUUUCAAACUUCGUAACUGAAGAUAUCAGUUCUUUAGAAACUUCUAGUUCAAAAUGGAGUUGGAUAAACGAACCUGUGGGUAUUUCGAAGGAUGAUAUAUUGUCUAAGACUGGAUUACUUGAGCAAAUAAAUACCACAGCUGAUAGAAGUGAUUAUUUGUGGUACUCAUUAAGGUACACAAGCCUCCAAAUUUGAAAGAUAUUUGCUUUGACCGAUGAUUAUGUACUUCUUGAUAACACUUCUCUUGUAUUUUUUAAAGCCUUGAUCUUGCGGAUGAUCCCGGUUCUCAAACUGUCCUGCACAUUGAAUCACUUGGCCAUGCCCUUCAUGCUUUCAUAAACGGCAAGCUUGCUGGUAAACAUUUGUUAGGGUUUUUAUGGUUUUUUGUAUUCUGGAUCUCUCAGAGAGCCUUUGUUUUAUUGAAUCUCAAACAAAACUGUUGAAAAUUAAAAAACUUCCCACAUAGGAGCCUUUGUUUAUAAGUCAUCAAAAGUUUGAGACCACUGGUUCAAACUUUUGGACCAUGGGCCUCUACACUAUAAACAAACUAACCAACUAUGUUCCUACACUCCAAUUGGGUGUGUGCCAUAAUCCAACAAAUACCAAGGUUGAUGUUAAAUCAAGUUGCUCAUGGAAGUUCUUCUAAUAUCAUAUGCUCUUUUAGCAGAUGUCCUAGGAGUGUCCUUUACAAGGAACUAGUCUAGCUAUUUCUUUUUUCCUGUUUCUUUUCCUUUAGCUCAUGUAACAAAAAAAAAAAAGUAACUAUUCUGUGAUAUUAUUGACAACUUUUCAGGGAAUCAAGCAGGAAACAGUGAUAAAUCUAAGCUUAAUGUGGACAUCCCAAUCGCACUAGUUUCCGGAAAGAACAAAAUUGAUCUACUGAGUUUAACAGUUGGACUUCAGGUUCAGCUUUUCUUGUUUUUAGUUUCUAAAUAUGCAUUUGCUCAUUAUAUUCCACCGUGCAUAGACUGGCUUGCUCCUUCAGUGAUUUCUCUCAUUACUAUAUCUAAGCUAAUAUGAACCAUAUACACAUCAGAACUAUGGAGCCUUUUUUGACACAGUGGGAGCAGGGAUCACCGGUCCCGUGAUAUUGAAAGGUUUGAAGAAUGGCAACAACACUCUUGAUCUCUCCUCUCGGAAGUGGACAUAUCAGGUCAAUCUUAAAUUUUUGAUCGAAAACUAUUUAUUAUUCUUUCUUUAUCACUUUAAUGGAAUACAUUGUUAAUGGAGUUAAUUUUUUCGAUACAGAUUGGCCUAAAAGGCGAAGAUUUAGGUCUGUCUAGUGGAAGUUCUGGAGGGUGGAAUUCACAGUCUACUUACCCUAAGAACCAACCAUUGGUUUGGUACAAGGUAGUUUUAUUUUCAAUUUAUUGUUUCCCUUGAUAUAAGUAAGGGAAUUUCAAAUUAAGGAAAUGCCACUAUAUGAAAAAUGUUUUUUUGCUACUAACCAAUGUAAUACAUGUUGCACUAGACAAACUUUGAUGCUCCAUCCGGCAGUAAUCCAGUUGCGAUUGACUUCACGGGGAUGGGAAAAGGUGAGGCUUGGGUAAAUGGACAAAGCAUUGGGCGAUACUGGCCUACAUAUGUCGCUUCAAAUGCCGGUUGCACAGACUCAUGCAACUAUAGAGGACCUUAUACUUCAUCUAAAUGUCGCAAGAACUGUGGAAAACCGUCACAGACAUUGUAAGUGUUGCAAAUUUUCAAUAAAAAAAAGUUUAAACAAAGAAAAUAAUCUUGAUCUAUGAUGUUACUGAGACAAUAAUCGCAUCUUGCAGAUACCAUGUACCACGAUCGUUUUUGAAACCAAACGGCAACACUCUUGUAUUGUUUGAGGAAAAUGGCGGUGAUCCGACCCAAAUAUCUUUUGCUACAAAACAGCUGGAAAGUGUGUGUUCACAUGUAUCUGAUUCUCACCCACCUCAAAUAGACUUGUGGAACCAAGAUACAGAAUCAGGGGGAAAAGUAGGGCCUGCUCUGUUGCUCAGUUGUCCUAAUCAUAAUCAGGUAAUUUCAUCCAUCAAAUUUGCAAGCUAUGGAACACCUUUAGGGACGUGUGGAAACUUCUACCGCGGACGCUGCAGCAGCAAUAAGGCGCUGUCAAUUGUAAAGAAGGUGUUUAUCUGAACUCCUGUUCCCUUACUAAUUUGUUAUGUUUCACAUUGGUUUAGAUUGACUAUGUUGGCCAUGGCUAAUAGUUUACUGAUAUGUGAGUAGGUUGCUUGAGCUGAUCAGAAUAAUAGAAAAUCAACUAACCAAUUAAUUGUAUUUAAACACAAGCAGUAAUAUGUAACUCUAAGCUUGAACAAUAGAAAACACUACAACCACUUUGCAGCCGUAGACAGACACAAUUUGCCGAACUCGGUGAUCAAAUCUUGUUUGUUUUUGUUGGUUUUAAAGAGGUUAGCGGCUGAAACACACUAUGCACAGAAAAGUGGAGAAUUGUGGGUUCAACCCGAGCUCUAACAUAUCAAAUGUUCCCACAUCCUUUUACCAUAUGAGUUGUACUUACGGGACAAUCACUUGUGUUCUUUGUUUCCGUUUAUCAUAUCUGUUGUCUUUUGAACCAGAGUUGUUGUAACAUACUAAAAUCAUCUUAUUAACAGGCCUGCAUUGGAUCAAGAAGUUGUAGUGUUGGAGUAUCAACUGAUACAUUUGGAGACCCUUGUAGAGGAGUACCGAAAAGUUUAGCUGUUGAAGCUACUUGUGCAUAGACAAACAUGUAACAUGUUGCUCUAAGAGCAGUCCUCAAUUGUGUUCAACUCUUAUCUUCAAUUCAUCUUCCCUAUCUAAAUUAGAAUUGUAUUCUAGGAACAUCCCAAUUUUUUAUUUUUCACUUAGAAUAGUGCUGUACCACUUGCAAUAAAAGAACAAAAAUGUGGUCCAUAUGGUGAUCUUUGAUACGUGAUAAAACGGUGUUCUUUUGUUGUUCUAGUAGUGAAAAGGAUGGUAAUGGUCCCAUAUAUACUUGUAAUACAAGUUGCACUCAGUGUGAGGAACCUGAACAGUGAAAAGUGGAAAAUUUGGACUUUUGGAGUAUGAACCAAGUUGGAUUAUUAGUUGGAAAAUGAUGUAUUUGAAAUUUUACUUCUUGUAGAGGAAGGUAACGAGAUAGAGGAGAUUCAAUUAAUCAACAUUAGGCAAAAUUUGUGUUGAGUUCUGUUAAUCAUGUUUCUGUAGAUAUCCUAACAUUUGAAUGAAAAUAUAAUACAUGAUUUAUUUGAAAACUUUAUAUUUUUUUAUUUUAAUCACCUGUAUUAUUUUUUUAAAAAAAUGGUGACUUCUUUAAUAAAUAUAAUAAUAAAGAAUAAUCAAUGUUUAUUUUCUUCAAGUAUUUUACAUGCAUAUAUAUAUAAGUUUUAAUAUACUUUUUUUUAACGUAUCAUAUCUUAAAUUUAAAAAAAAAAUUGUGUAUUUGCGUACCCAUAUUGUAUGCCCAAAUGCCCUUAAUUUGGAAAUGCUAGCAAGUGUCAUAAGGGUACUUGUUUAGAAGUUUAAAGUAAAAGUUUUAUCUUAGAAAUUGUGUAUUCAAUACAUUGAAACAACAAAAAGUAAUUUUUUUCAACAAAAAAUUUAUCAGUUAUUUCUAUUUUUGAAUCUUUAACAAGUGUCUUUAAGGCAAUUGUUUGCAUAACCCUAAUAUUAGUUCUAUGAAGCAGAUUUUUUUUUGUUCAUAAUCAAUAUGUAGAAUUUAUUCUUUUUUUAUUUUUAAAUACAAAGAAAAAGUGUUCUCAAUACUUUUUGUCACAUGAGCUGCAGAAAUUUAACGAUCCAAAUUGAGUCAGUUGGUAAAAAGAUGUUUCAUUUAACAAUCCAAAUUGAUUCAGUUGGUAAAAAGAUGUCUCAUAUGCUAGAAGGGUAUGAAUUCAAUUCUCGCAGCUAUAAUGAAAAAUGGAUGGGUAAUUUAUAAAUACCCCUAGUGAACCCGUCAUCUAAGUUAUCUAAACUUUUUUUUAUAUAAAAUAAAGUAAAAAUAUGCAAUGUAUGUAAAUAAUGUGAUAAUAAAAAAGUAUAAUAAACGUGUUUGAGUUGAUUAAACAAUGUUAAGUUUGUCCUUACGAGCUUAGUUUAGUUGGUAUAGACAAUGCAUCAUAAUAUAUGUAAAAUACGAGGUUCAAACCCCGACCAUCAAAAAAAAAAAAAACAAUGCUAAGUUUGUGGAGAAUGAUAUUGCAGUUCAACCCCCACAUGAAUACAUUUUUAAAGUUGUUUUAUGAUGCAACAAGAAUCCAAUUUGAUAUCCCUAAUGAGGUCAAAAAUCCUAUCUAUUUUUUUUUUUUAAAUUAGAGGUGUUUAUUAUAGUUUUAGAAUAAAUUAAUGCACAUAUUUUUUAAAAAAUUUAAUAAUAAUUAGACUUUAUUUUACAAACUAGUUAGAUAUAUUUAUGUACUUAAAUUAUAAUAAUAAGAUGAAAUAAUUUAGAUGACGAGUUGAGUAAGAAUUUUACCUAAUAUUUAUCAAAUGUUACAAGAACUAAAUAAUAACACCUAUUUUUUAUUUAGUUAUAUUUUUUAAGUGUUACUAAAUCUCAUAUAUAUGUUAUAGUGCCUACCACAUAAGGUAUUUUUUUUUUUUGAAGGAUACCACAUAAGGUAUUUAUUCACUGAAUAUACGUUUAUAAUUCGGACAGAGGGCGUAUUACCUUGUUUCUCCUCAUAGAAUGUACAUUAUAUAUACACGUGUUAUAUUACUCAUGUUCUUCUUCUAAGCAUCAUCACUUACAUUUCACAUCCACGUGACCAAAAAAACACAUGUAACAAAUAAACCAAACCAAACCAAAGUCCAAUCUUUCCUUCCCUAGUGAGUUUCUUUUUCUCUUUUUGGAUCAUUCAUUCUUCUAGAAUAAUUACCAUGAGAGCCACUGAAAUUGUGUUGGUUCUGCUUUGGUUCUUACCAACAAUGUUUUGCACCAAUGUGGAUUAUGAUCAUAGAGCAUUGGUCAUUGAUGGUAAACGUAGAGUCUUGAUUUCUGGUUCUAUUCACUACCCUCGUAGUACUCCACAGGUUUUAUUUUAUGUCUCUCUUUGAUUCUGUUUGUGUGUUGAAUUUAAACAGUGCUGAAUUUGUUGUUGUUUAUAGAUGUGGCCAGACCUUAUUCAGAAAUCUAAAGAUGGAGGACUUGAUGUUAUUGAAACCUAUGUUUUCUGGAACUUACAUGAACCUGUUAAAGGCCAGGUUCUCUUUGCUUCAUUUCUUCUCUUACAUUCUUACCAUUUUCUUUGAGCAUUGCAUUUGUUCAUUGCUUGCAGGAAAAGAAAACAAGUGUCUAUGUUAAGCUGAAUUGCUAAUUGUUGAAAGCAUGACUGAACAAGUUUGGAUUGACUUAUUUGAGUUUAUCUACUGACAUAAUCUCUCCAAGAUAGAUAAUGAAACAUAUUAACUAUAUGAAAACAAUAUGACUCUAAAAUCUUUUGUAAAUAGAAUAAGCACUUAUAUGUUAUAAGCACUUAAUUAAGUAUUUUAUCCAAAUAUGAUCUUGAUCUACUAUAAGCUAAGAAAGUCUAUCUUAAUUCAUUGAAAUGAAAUGGAUUUUUGCAGUAUGAUUUUGAUGGGAGGAAGGAUUUGGUGAAAUUUGUGAAAGCAGUAGCUGAGGCAGGUCUAUAUGUGCAUCUCCGGAUUGGUCCAUAUGUUUGUUCUGAAUGGAACUAUGGGUAAAGUUUGGUAAUUUAUGUGUAUUAUAUUUCGAGGGUGUUCAUGUCUAAUUGAGGGCUUUAACUUCUUGACAGUGGUUUCCCUCUUUGGCUUCACUUCAUUCCAGGGAUUAAGUUCCGAACUGACAAUGAACCAUUUAAGGUAAGUUAACCUUCAGUCCAGUGCUUCAUGCUUUUGUCCUUGGACUGAGUUCACUUGACAGGAAACUUUGUCUUCAGGUUGAAAUGAAGCGAUUCACCACUAAGAUUGUCGACCUCAUGAAGCAAGAGAAACUGUAUGCAUCACAAGGAGGACCUAUAAUUUUAUCUCAGGUUUUUUUAUCAUGAAAUACAAUACAAGUAUAGUUAAUAUAUUCUUGAAGAUAUUAAGGUCAAAGUUUAUAUUUGUUAAUGUGAGAGUGUUUGUGAUUUCUAAUGACAGAUAGAAAAUGAGUAUGGAGACAUCGAUUCAGCCUAUGGUUCUGCUGGUAAAUCAUACAUCAAUUGGGCAGCAAAAAUGGCUACAUCUCUUGAUACAGGUGUACCUUGGGUCAUGUGUCAGCAAGCAGAUGCUCCUGAUCCAAUUGUAAGUUUUAUGUUUUGAUAUGUCAAUGUUAAUUGUUUUUUAGUUUAUGGUUUACUAGGUUGCCUGUCUUCCGGAAAAGAGCAAUCUUGGUAUGCCGUUUGCAUUCAUCUUACUCAAUUUUUACUUGAACUGCAAGUAGAUUAAUACCUGCAAUGGAUUUUACUGCGAUCAAUUCACACCAAACUCUAAAACAAAGCCAAAAUUGUGGACUGAAAAUUGGAGUGCAUGGUUAGCAACUUAGCAUCCUUUUUUAUAUAAAUAAUUUAAUCAAUUUGUUUAUGUUAUUUUCCAAAUCUUACUUGAAUUCUUUGGAAUGGUAGGUAUCUUUUAUUUGGUGGUGGGUUUCCUCACAGACCUGUGGAAGAUCUCGCAUUUGCUGUCGCACGCUUUUUCCAACGAGGUGGAACAUUUCAAAAUUACUAUAUGGUAUUGCAACCUGAAAUGUUCUUCACAAGUUCAGAAUAAUAUGAUAAUAUUACUUCACUGAAAAAUUGGCUCUAAGAGGAAUUAGCUGAUACUGUAUCAUUUUUCAUUGCUUGACUAAAAACAGUACCAUGGAGGAACCAACUUUGACCGAAGUACUGGAGGACCAUUCAUUGCAACAAGUUAUGAUUUUGAUGCACCGAUUGAUGAGUAUGGUAUGACUCCUUCAACCUUCUUAUUGAAAUCUAUUGUUCAUGUUGUAGCCGUCACAAAUACAACACUGGUAAUACAUCGAAGAAGAUAAAUUGAUAAUAUCACAUGGAUAGUUUAUUUCUUAUAUGUAGAAGAGAAAUUACACUGGACGAUUGGAUUUUUUAAUAUCUUCGCUACAUGCUGCAGGAGUUAUUAGGCAGCCGAAGUGGGGUCAUCUUAAAGAUGUGCACAAGGCCAUAAAGCUUUGUGAAGAAGCAUUAAUAGCCGCAGAACCCAAGAUUACUUAUCUUGGUCCAAACCUAGAGGUAUAGAUGGUUUAUAUUGAAAUUUUUGUUCGUUUGAAACAUCUUAUUCCGCGUCUUAGGAUAUAAUUUAUUUUGUAACUAAAACUCAUCUGGUUUGUCAAUAGUGUAAGAUUCUUUCUUUGAAAAAUUCCCGGCAUUAAUAGUCUUUUACUAAUAAAACCGCAGGCGGCCGUUUAUAAGACAGGAUCUGUAUGUGCUGCCUUUCUCGCCAAUGUGGACGCCAAAUCUGAUAAAACCGUAAAUUUCAGUGGCAAUUCAUAUCACUUGCCUGCAUGGUCUGUGAGCAUCUUGCCAGAUUGCAAGAAUGUAGUGCUUAAUACUGCAAAGGUUUGUCUUACCUUCAUUUGUGUUAAGUUGCUUCAAUAACACAAUUAUCUCAAUCAAAAUAGAUAGUUUAAUUGAAUAGAGUUACUAAAAAAGUGUGAUUCAUAUUCAUUUUGUGAAUAUUCUAUCUAUACCAAGGUGUUUUCUCUUAUUUGUUAGUCCAAAGUAAGUAGGAUGUAAUAAAAGUAAAUUUUUUUAUGCCAGAUUAAUUCUGCAUCUACAAUUUCAAACUUCGUAACUGAAUCUUUAAAAGAAGAUAUCAGUUCUUCAGAAACUUCUAGAUCAAAAUGGAGUUGGAUAAACGAACCUGUGGGUAUUUCGAAGGAUGAUAUAUUGUCAAAGACUGGAUUACUUGAGCAAAUAAAUAUCACAGCUGAUAGAAGUGACUACUUGUGGUACUCAUUAAGGUAUACAAGCCUCCAAAUUUGAAAGAUAUUUUCCCUGACUGAUGAUUCUGUACUUCUCGAUAACACUUCUAUUGUAUUCUUUUGAAGCGUUGAUCUUAAGGAUGAUCCUGGUUCUCAAACUGUCCUUCACAUUGAAUCGCUCGGCCAUGCCCUUCAUGCUUUCAUAAACGGCAAGCUUGCAGGUAAUUAUUCACAAGGAUAUGGUUUUUAUAUUUUGAAAGUGUUGGAAUUAAUUGAAUUGACUAGUUUUAGUGAUUUGCUGUAAUUUGGAAUUCAAAUUAUAGUUGACUCAUAUCCUUGUAUAUCUUUCCAUUUAUUUCUUGUAGUUAUGUUUUCAUUUUUUUAUCUCCUAUAAUCAUGGAGGAAACCUUGUAUAUAUUCCCUACUUUCAUAUCAAUGAAAUACACCAUUAUACCAUUUUCUUUUACAUGGUAUCAGAGCCGACUCCAAUUACCUCUCAUUUCUAGGUAUUGGAGAUUAGCUUCUGAGUAAGAAAAUGGCGAAUGGGUCAGAUAAAUCAGAUUCUGGUGAUAAAUCAGAUUCUGCUCAAAAAUCAAAUUCUGCUCCACAUACACAUGAUAUGUAUUCAUCCCUCACACCUGAACGUCUUGAUGGCACAAACUAUACCGAAUGGGCCCUAAAUGCAGAAAACAAGAUCAGAGGUCGUAAACAUUGGGGUUACAUCUCUGGAAAGAAGGUCACACCUGCAACAAAAACCUCUGAUGAAUAUGAAACUUGGGAAGAUGAGAAUUGUUUGGUCAAGUCUUGGCUUCUGGAUGCAAUGACAAAAGAUGUUAGGUCGCUUUUCAUCCGGUUACCUACAGCCAAGAAGAUCUGGGAAUCGGUCAAGGAGACUUACUCUGUCAGUCAAGAUGCAUCAAAGGCAUAUCAGCUUUAUUGUGAGGUAAUAUCUAUUAAACAAGAUGGUGGAUCCGUUGUUACUUACUUUGCAAAAUUACAGAAACUGUGGCAGGAAAUUGAUGCGAUUGAAGAUUGUACCAUGGUGUGCACUAAAGAUGUUGAGACAUAUACCAACAAACUGAAUGCGCAACGUGUAUACAUAUUCCUAGCAGGACUUGAUUCACACUUGGAUGGGGUACGUGGUCGAAUUCUUGCAACCAUACCACUUCCAGGUAUACAAACUGUGUAUGCAAAUGUCUGUGUUGAGGCGAAUCGCCAAGAAGCCAUGCUUUGUACAACACAAAGUGAAGGUGCUGCAAUGGCUAUGAAAAAGCCAUUUAAUUCCAAUAAAGGAAACCGCAAAUGUACACACUGUAAUGGAAACAACCAUACCGCAGAUACUUGUUUUAAGAUACACGGUUAUCCUCAAUGGCACCCAAAAGGGAAAAAGGAGGAUGCUCUCAAUAACAAUACUACCGGUGCUUCUGGAUUUGUUGCUAAGUCAGGUACAUCUCAAUCUGUUUGUUGUUUUUCUGUUGUUACUUGUGAUAAUGAAUGGAUAAUUGAUACUGGUGCAACUCAUCAUAUGACUUGUAAUAAAUAUAUGUUUACACAUUUAUCCUCUAAUAGUCCUGUUCGAGUCAUUAUAAAUGCUAAUGGUGUUUCUUCCCAUGUUAUGGGUAUUGGUACAGUGUCAAUUUCACCAUCAUUAUCCCUUUAUGAUGUUCUCUUUGUUCCCUCUCUCAAUUGCAAUCUUCUCUCUGUUAACCAACUAACCGAGUCCCUUAAUUGUGCCGUCGUGUUCUUUUCCACACAUUGUAUUUUGCAGAAUGUUCAUACAAAGGAGAAGAUUGGCAGUGGUAAAAAAAGAGAAGGAUUAUACUAUCUUGAAGGUAACUCUCAACAUCCCAAAGGAAAAGCACUAGUUCACUCUAUGAGUGAUGGAUUACAAGCUAGAAAUAUAGAAGAUAUUUGGCAAUGGCAUAAGCGAUUAGGACACCCAUCAUUUAGCUAUCUCAAGAGAUUGUUUCCUUCAUUGUUUAGUCGUUGUGAUAUCUCUGAUUUUAAAUGUGAAACUUGUGUAAUGGCAAAAAGCCAUCGUGUUUCUUUUCCUAUAAAUAAUAGUAGAGCUGAUGCUCCUUUUUCAAUUAUUCACUCAGAUGUUUGGGGACCAUCUCCAUUUCCCACAAAUAAUGGAAUGAGGUGGUUUGUGACCUUUGUGGAUGAUUGUACAAGAAUGACCUGGUUAUAUUUUCUUAAACACAAAAGUGAUUUGUUUAGUGUCUUUCAAGUUUUUCACAAAAUGAUAACAACACAAUUUAAUACUCCAAUCAAGAUAGUUAGGUCUGAUAAUGGAGGAGAAUAUCAUAAUAAUAAAUUGACAACUUUUAUGAAAUCAGUUGGUAUUCUCCAUCAAACAUCAUGUCCUAAUACCCCUCAGCAGAAUGGAGUAGCUGAAAGAAAAAAUAGACACCUUUUGGAGAUUACUAGGUCACUCUUGAUUGGGAGUAAUGUUCCUUCUUAUUUAUGGGGUGAAGCUUUAAGCUCUGCAGUUUAUCUUAUUAAUAGAGUCCCCUCAAGUGUGCUAAAUUUUAGAAGACCUAUUGAUGUUCUUUCUAAUCAUUGCACACUUAACUCUAUCAAUAAUUUACCACCCCAUAUUUUUGGUUGUGUCAUAUAUGUACAUUUACAUCCUCACCAAAGAACAAAAUUAGAAUCUAGAGCAAUGAAAUGUGUUUUUGUGGGAUACAGCACCACUCAAAAGGGAUAUAAAGCUUAUCAUCCAUCUUCAAAAAAAUAUUUUGUUUCAAUGGAUGUUACCUUUCAUGAACAUGAAUUGUUUUUUCUUUCUAAAACACUCCAUUCUUCACCUCAGAGGGGAAGUGAUGUAGAGGUGCAGAAUCAUGAAAUACGCAUCCAUGAAAUCAUGUUAUUUGAUACUAUGCCAAUAGAAAAUCAAAAUGAAAUUCAAGAUAUUGAAGAUGAGAAUCAAGAUAUUGGAAAUGAGAAUAUGACCGAAGAUGAUAGUAUAAUUUCCUCUUCAACUUCAAGCCCACUGCUGAUCCAAUCCUCAGAAAAUUCUGCAGAGGUACCAUCUGAAACUAUUGCUUCUAUUCAUUCUAUUGCUGAUAUAGAAAAUUAUGUUUCCGCUGAUAUAGAAAAUAAUGACUCUUCUUCUAGUCCAUUAAAUUUUGACCAUGUUGUUAGCACUUACACUCUUCCCCCUCGUACUAACAGAGGACAACCUCCAAUAAGGUAUGAACCUGACCCUAAUUGUAAGCUAAAGUACCCUAUAAAUAACUAUGUGUCAUUCCAAAAGUUGUCCAAGUCAUAUGCUAAUUAUGCAUCUCAAUUAUCCAUUGCAUCUACACCUAGUAACUUGCAGGAAGCUCUAGCAGAUUUGAGAUGGACACAGGCAAUGACAGCAGAAAUGGAAGCAUUGGAGAAAAAUGCUACUUGGGAACUUGUCUCCUUACCGGUCGGAAAGAGCACUGUAGGUUGUAGAUGGGUGUUUACUAUCAAACAUAAGGCCGAUGGAAGUGUUGAGAGGUUUAAAGCGAGGUUAGUUGCAAAAGGUUACACUCAAUCCUAUGGAGUUGAUUAUGAAGAAACUUUUGCACCAGUUGCAAAACUCAACACAGUGAGGGUAUUACUAUCAUUAGCAGCAAAUCAAGAUUGGCCGCUACUUCAAUUUGAUGUAAAAAAUGCCUUUUUACAUGGAGAUUUAAUAGAAGAAGUGUAUAUGGAUCCUCCCCCUGGCAUACCAAGGUACUCAAAUAUUUCUAUGGUGUGCAAGCUUAAAAAGGCCCUAUAUGGAUUAAAACAGUCACCAAGAGCUUGGUUUGGAAGGUUUACUAAGUCUAUGAAGUUUUUUGGUUACACACAAAGUAAUUCUGAUCACACCUUGUUUCUUAAACAUAAUCAUGGUAAGAUCACCGCAUUGAUAAUAUAUGUUGAUGAUAUGAUUGUGACUGGAAAUGAUCCUAAUGAAAUUUCGAGCUUGCAGCGAUAUUUAGCUUCUAAUUUUGACAUGAAACAACUUGGAGAUCUAAAGUAUUUUUUGGGGAUCGAAGUUGCAAGGUCCAAGCAUGGUAUCUUUCUUUCUCAAAGAAAGUAUGUGUUAGAUUUGUUAACUGAGACAGGAAUGCUUGGAUGCAAACCAAUUGAAACUCCCAUAGAACAAAAUCACAAAAACUUUUGUUGUGCUGAUGCGCCUAGUACGGAUCGUCAAAGAUAUCAAAGAUUAGUUGGGAAGUUAAUUUAUUUGUCUCAUACUAGGCCAGACAUAGCGUAUGCAGUUAAUGUUGUGAGCCAAUUUAUGCAUGACCCAAGAAAACCGCAUAUGGAUGCGGUUGAACGAAUACUGAGGUACUUAAAAUCUGCUCCAGGAAAAGGUUUGUUAUUCUCAAACCAUGGUCACCUCAAAGUCGAAGGUUAUACCGAUGCUGAUUGGGCCGGAUCUGCGGAUGACAGAAAGUCUACUGCAGGCUACUUAACUUUUGUGGGAGGAAAUUUAGUAACUUGGAGGAGUAAAAAACAACAAGUAGUUGCUAGAUCAAGUGCCGAAGCAGAAUUCAGGGGGAUGGCAGUAGGAAUAUGUGAACUGCUAUGGAUUAAAAACCUUUUAAAGGAUCUUGGAUGUGAACAAGAGGAUGCAAUGAAGCUUUACUGUGACAAUAAAUCUGCCAUAGAGAUUGCUCAUAACCCUGUCCAACAUGAUCGCACAAAACACGUGGAAAUUGAUAGGCAUUUCAUCAAAGAAAAGAUUGAAGCUGGUAUUAUUGCAUUUCCGUUUGUAAAAUCAGAACAACAACUUGCUGAUAUGCUUACUAAGGCAGUAACCUCCAGGACUCUUGCUGGUUCUCUUGACAAGUUGGGUAUGUGUGAUAUUCAUGCACCAACUUGAGAGGGGAUGUUGGAAUUAAUUGAAUUGACUAGUUUUAGUGAUUUGCUGUAAUUUGGAAUUCAAAUUAUAGUUGACUCAUAUCCUUGUAUAUCUUUCCAUUUAUUUCUUGUAGUUAUGUUUUCAUUUUUUUAUCUCCUAUAAUCAUGGAGGAAACCUUGUAUAUAUUCCCUACUUUCAUAUCAAUGAAAUACACCAUUAUACCAUUUUCUUUUACAGAAAGUCUCAAAGAGCCUGUGUUAUUGAAACUCAAAUGAAGUCGAGGUUGAUUUUAAAACAAGUUAAAACAUGAGUUGAUCAUUGAUUUUUUUUUUUAUUUUUUUUAGGGAGAGUUGAUGAUGGAUGUUCCUUCUAAAAAUGUUCAUAAUUUAUUUUUUCAAUUAAGUUCUUGAAUUAUUAAAUAAUAACUUUCUAUGAUAUUAUUGAUGAAUUCUUAGGGAGUCAAACCGGGAACAAAGAAAAACCUAAGCUUAAUGAGGACAUCCCGAUCACAGUUCUUUCUGGAAAGAAUAAAAUUGAUCUGCUGAGUUUAACAGUUGGACUUCAGGUUCAGCUUUUCUUGUUUUUAGUUUCCAAUUAUGCAUAGAAUUGCUUGCUCCCCCAAUGAUUUCUCUCAUUACUAUAUCUAACAUGAACCAUAUACACAUCAGAACUAUGGAGCUUUUUUUGACACAUGGGGAGCGGGGAUCACCGGUCCAGUGAUAUUGAAAGGUUUGAAGAAUGGCAACAAGACUCUUGAUCUCUCCUCUCGGAAGUGGACAUAUCAGGUCAGUCUUCACUUUUGAUCGAAGACUAUUUGUUAGUCUUACAUAGUUAAUGGAGUUAAUUCUUUUGAUACAGGUUGGCCUAAAAGGUGAAGAUUUAGGUCUCUCUAGUGGAAGUUCCGGAGCGUGGAAUUCAAAGACUACUUUCCCUAAGAAACAACCAUUGAUUUGGUACAAGGUAAUUUAAUUUUCAAUUUAUUGUUUCCCUUGAUAUAAGUUAUGGAAUUUCAAAUUAAAAGAACGCCACUAUAUGAAAAAUGUUUUUUGCUACUAACCAAUGUCAUGCAUGUUGCAUUAGACAAACUUUGAUGCUCCAUCCGGCAGUAAUCCAGUUGUGAUUGACUUCACAGGGAUGGGAAAAGGCGAGGCUUGGGUAAAUGGACAAAGCAUUGGGCGAUACUGGCCUACAUAUGUUGCUUCAAAUGUCGAUUGCACAGACUCAUGCAACUACAGAGGACCUUUUACUCAAACCAAAUGUCACAUGAAUUGUGGAAAACCAUCACAGACAUUGUAAGUGUUGCAAAUUUUCAAUGAAGAAGAGUUUAAACAUGAGAAAAAAAAUCUUGAUCUAUGAUGUGAUUGAGACAUUAAUCUCAUCUCACAGAUACCACGUGCCACAGUCGUUUUUGAAACCAAAUGGAAACACUCUUGUAUUGUUUGAGGAAAGUGGUGGUGAUCCAACACAAAUAUCUUUUGCUACAAAACAGAUAGGAAGUGUGUGUGCCCAUGUAUCUGAUUCUCACCCACCUCAAAUAGACUUGUGGAACCAAGAUACAGAAUCAGGGGGAAAAGUAGGGCCUGCACUGUUGCUCAACUGUCCUAAUCAUAAUCAGGUAAUAUCUUCCAUCAAAUUUGCAAGCUAUGGAACACCACUAGGGACGUGUGGAAACUUCUACCGCGGACGCUGCAGCAGCAAUAAGACACUGUCAAUUGUAAAGAAGGUGUUUAUCUGGAUUCAUGUUCCCUUUCUAAUUUGUUAUGGUUCACUUUAUGUUGAGUAUGACUCUUAGUUUAAUUAUAUGUGAGUAGGUUGCUUGAGUUGGUGAGAAUAAUAGAAAAUAAACUAAUCAACUCAUAGUAUUUAAACACAGGUAGUAAUAUGUAACCUCUUUGCUGCCGUAGAUGUAUACACAAUUGGCCGAACUCCGCGAUCAAAUCUUGUUUUUUUGUUGUUGCUGUUGGUUUUAAGCUGGUUAGCGGCGAAACUCACACACACAUUAUGUACUGAGAAGUGGAGAAUUGUGGGUUCAAACCUGCGUUCCAACAUAUCAAAUGUCCCUGCAAAAUUUUACCAUCUGAGUUGUACUUACGGGACAAUCUCAGUGUUAUUUGUUUGUGUUUUCUUUUGAACCUGAUUGUUGUAACAUACUAAAAUCAUCUUAUUAACAGGCCUGCAUUGGAUCAAGAAGUUGUAGUAUUGGAGUAUCAACCGAUACAUUUGGAGACCCUUGUAAAGGAGUGCCAAAGAGUUUAGCCGUUGAAGCUACUUGUGCAUAGACAAACAUGUAACAUGUUGCUCCAAGAGCAGUCAUCAAUUGUCUUCAACUCUUAUCUUAAAUUCUUCUUCCCUUUCCAAAUUAGAAUUGUAUUCUAGGAACAUCCCAAUUUAUUUUUCUUCAAUUAGAAUAGUUUAGUACCACUUGCAAUAAAAGAAACAAAAAUGUGGUCCUUAUGAUGUUUGAUACGUGAUAAAAUGGUCCCAUAUACUUGUAAUACAAGUUGCCCUCAGGGGGAGGGACCUGAACAGUGAAAAGUGGAAAAUUUGGACUUUUGGAGUAUGAACCAAGUUGGAUUAUUAG
rnacentral:lncRNA from 1 species